GACGAACCGUGCGAACGUUUAUUCGGAAUCACUGGGCUUAAAGCGCGUGUAGGCGGACGGGAACGUCGGAACCUGAAAGCCCCCGGCUCAACCGGGGAAGCGGGGCCGAAACGACCCGUCUGGAGGGACGUAGGGGGAUCUGGGAACUUCCGGUGGAGCGGUGAAAUGCGUUGAGAUCGGAAGGAACGCCCGUGGCGAAAGCGACCACCUGGACUGAUACUGACACUGAGGUGCGAAAGCGUGGGGAGCAAACAGG
rnacentral:rRNA from 1 species